CCACCACCUGCUCUCUGGCCGUCCUGCAGCAUGUGCAACCUGCAGCCGGCCUCAGGCCAGGACCGGAGGAACAGCGUGGCCGACCUGGACUCACAGAUACAGGAGCAGGAGCGCAUCAUAAACAUCUCCUACGCCCUGGCCUCCGAGGCCUCCCAGCGCAGCAAGCAGGUGGCAGCCCAGGCAGCGACUGACCCGUGACCAGCGUGCGGAGGAGAAGCCUGCAGCCAGCGUUCCUGUGGAACCAGCUUGCUCCGAGAGAAGACUGAGUUUUCUUCCCCCAAGAAAACCCCUCCCAGCUGAGCAGGGGUUCUGGCUGGGGGAGGGGGCAGCCCACCAGAUGGGGGUGUCCCCCACAGGGCUGGGUCCCCCACCCCCACCUCGUGUUAGUGGACUCCUUUUGACAUGACAGACGCACUUUUGAUACACACUGUAAAAUGCUGACACUGUAUUUUAGAAUCAGAAUAUAUUUUCUAAUGUUCACCUCAAGGGCUGAGUGGCCAGAAAGGCGAGGGUGCAGGAUGUGGGGGCUGCGCAUGCAGAUUCAGGUACUGUUGGGCGGGAGGUGUGGAGGGGGAGGAAGGCAGGGCAAAGCAGAGGCAAGUCCGAUACAAUGAACUCAGGUGAAGGCUGGAUCUGAGCAGGUGCUUCCAGUGGACUCUGCCGUCAGGGUCCUGGGCCUGCUCCUGGGAAAAGAGGGACCCUGGGGCUGCAGAGCUCAGCUGUCCCCGACCUGGCCGAUGACCGGCUCUGGAGUGGAGACUCCACCAGGAUGGCAUGUGGAGCCCAAGUCUGUGCCUUGGCCCUUGGGUUU